rnacentral:sRNA from 1 species
GAUGAUGAUGAUGAUGACGAUGAUGAUCACAAGCUAGAUGUCAGCUUGGUUACUGUCACAUCUCCCCGCAGAGUUCCAAAUGCCUGUUAUUCAAGAUGAUGAAGAGUGUGACGUCACGGAAUUUCAACCUUGGGUUUCCUCAUUUUGCAUUCUGUCAUGAGCAAGCGUAUCGUCCCGGAAAAGUGCAUAAGCGCCCUCAUAAUUGCUUCGUAGUUUCCUAUGAACUGCAAAUGUAUGUGAGUGUUUGACUAGUACUAGACUCUUCAUUCUGUAACUAAUGUUGAUUAUUAAUUUCAAAAAGCAGACAAGAAGUCGGUUGGCCAAAUCAUACUGUACUUCAAGAACAGGACAGUGUCCCAUGGUUGGGUGUCUUUCUCAUGAUGGACUCUCUGUAAAUUAAACAGCAGCCAAUUAGUCACUUUCCUGUUGUUUCAGCUUUCAGUUUGCUCCGAUUAAACAUUCAUAUGGUAAAUCUUA